rnacentral:rRNA from 1 species
UACGGAGGGUGCAAGCGUUGUCCGGAAUCACUGGGCGUAAAGGGCGCGUAGGCGGCCCGGUAAGUAGGAGGUGAAAUCCUGCGGCUUAACCGCAGGGCUGCCUUCUAAACUGUCGGGCUAGAGCACGGUAGAGGCAGAUGGAAUUCCCGGUGUAGCGGUGGAAUGCGUAGAGAUCGGGAAGAACAUCGGUGGCGAAGGCGGUCUGCUGGGCCGUUGCUGACGCUGAGGCGCGACAGCGUGGGGAGCAAACAGG